rnacentral:rRNA from 1 species
GAUGAACGCUGGCGGCGUGCCUAAUACAUGCAAGUCGAGCGAACAGACGAGGAGCUUGCUCCUCUGACGUUAGCGGCGGACGGGUGAGUAACACGUGUAUAACCUACCUAUAAGACUGGGAUAACUUCGGGAAACCGGAGCUAAUACCGUAUAAUAUAUUGAACCGCAUGGUUCAAUAGUGAAAGACGGUUUUGCUGUCACUUAUAGAUGGAUCCGCGCCGCAUUAGCUAGUUGUUAAGGUAACGGCUUACCAAGGCAACGAUGCGUAGCCGACCUGAGAGGGUGAUCGGCCACACUGGAACUGAGACACGGUCCAGACUCCUACGGGAGGCAGCAGUAGGGAAUCUUCCGCAAUGGGCGAAAGCUUGACGGAGCAACGCCGAGUGAGUGAUGAAGGUCUUCGGAUCGUAAAACUCUGUUAUUAGGGAAGAACAAAUGUGUAAGUAACUAUGCACGUCUUGACGGUAACUAAUCAGAAAGCCACGGCUAACUACGUG